AAGUUUUCUUACAAUAUCAGUAACAGCACAGAAUGACAGGCAAGCUAGGUAACCUUUUCCUAGGCCUUAACGCUGGACAGAGAAUCCUGUCCUUGCACCACAUCACUGUGGGGCUGGUGCCGCCAUUUUUCUUGGAGAAAGCCCAGUGGGUCUCAGGAACAUUCAUCGUGUUCAAGGGAGAGGCAUAGACACAGAAGGCACUUGAAACAAUCUGCAAUUGAGCUUUCCUCUUACACAAGCACAACCGAGAAGCUCGCAUUCAGACUUGGAAGGAAAAGUCCGAAAAAUAAGAAAAUAAGCAAGGCGAUUUCUCGUUUAAUAGAGCUAUAUCCCCCGCAAACAUUCCGCCCCGACCUCGACAGUGUGGUCAU
ensembl:lncRNA